rnacentral:rRNA from 1 species
GAUGAACGCUGGCGGCGUGCUUAACACAUGCAAGUCGAACGGAAAGGCUCCUGCUUGCAGGGGUACUCGAGUGGCGAACGGGUGAGUAACACGUGGGUGAUCUGCCCUGCACUUCGGGAUAAGCCUGGGAAACUGGGUCUAAUACCGGAUAGGACCACAUUUUGGAUGGUGUGGUGGAAAGUUUUUCGGUGUGGGAUGAGCUCGCGGCCUAUCAGCUUGUUGGUGGGGUAAUGGCCUACCAAGGCGUCGACGGGUAGCCGGCCUGAGAGGGUGUACGGCCACAUUGGGACUGAGAGACGGCCCAGACUCCUACGGGAGGCAGCAGUGGGGAAUAUUGCACAAUGGGCGCAAGCCUGAUGCAGCGACGCCGCGUGGGGGAUGACGGCCUUCGGGUUGUAAACUCCUUUCGCUAGGGACGAAGCGCAAGUGACGGUACCUGGAGAAGAAGCACCGGCUAACUACGUG